AAACGCUUCAAAACGCAGGCGCGGACCUGAACCAAACUUCCCCCCUUUUUCUUUUUAUUUCAGCUGCACUGUCAACAAACAGGCCAUUUCUGCCCGCAUGCAAAUUUAAAGCCCCAGAGGGGAUUUAUAAUUACGGGGCUGUGGAGGAGGGCUGAGGAGCCGUAAUGAGCCGUGCAGCCUGACAGGCUGCUGGUUCAUCUAUCUCCUCUGUCAGAUCCCAGCUGGUUCACUGAGACAGACAACAGAUGUGGAAAAGCAACACAGUAGCUUAUUCACCACCAGGAAGAUUGCAGUGGCUUGUGAUUUGGCCUUUUAACAUCUGUUUCAGACUGAGUGACCCUUGUACUGCAACCAGAGAUCUGCAGAAUGUUGUUUGUUACUGUGUGGCUGCCAGAACCCUUUUUCCAUUCUACUGGGUUACAGUGAGAGAGAAAACAUCUAAGGAGGCAGACAAUGUGAAUUUAUGGAACAGAAAAUGUCAAAAAAACAUUAUGUUCACAAAUAAAGCUUUAUUUCCUCUUUUUUGAGCAACAUGACACGUUUAAGCCUGCACAAAUCCCUUGUUGUUUUAGCUGUUUCCCCUUUCUUCUUUCACUGUCAGUCUCUCUAACUCCCCUGUUCUUGCUGUAAAUGUUUUUAAACCACAAACCAUAGCUGAAAAGCUGACAUAAAACUCCCCUCGUUUCCCAAAGGAGGAAACUGUUAGUGCAUGUUUGUCACCAAAUAGAGUAAACUUAUGUCAUCCUGAAAAUGAAAAUAACUAGGCCAAGGAACUUUUUUUUUUCUUUUUUGAAAUGCCCAAGAAAGGCAAAAAUGUGUACUUUGAUUUAGUAUGGAGACAUCCUCUUAUACUUUAAGAAGCUUGUGAAGUGCCAUUAUCUGGACUCAGACACACAGGGGUCCUUGGAGUUUGCCUUACAGUCAGUCACAUGUACAGGGGCAGUCGUUUGCUAAAUGAGUCCCUUAGAUGGGACUGUGCUACGUCUGUUAGCCACUCUAUCAAUCUGACCGCUAAUUAGACAAUGCCUGGGAGAGACGGGGUUAAUGUACAGACUGAGGCAGAGGCAGCGGGACAAAAGAGAAGAGGAUUAUAAAGACAGAAUGACAAAGAGCUUUUAAGAGCACGAAAAUGUGUGUGUCUGCAGGGAGCCUUAAAGCAGUGGUUCCCGUUCUUCUCAGCUCAUGGCCUUUAAAAUGAAGAAACAUCUACCUGCAAUCCAUCCUUAGGUGUUGCAUAUGUCAGUUAGUUCUGAGUGUAGACUGUAUAUAAGAAGGAUGCAGCCAACAGGACAUCAUUCAUUUGUAAGCCUUGAGUUUGGAAUUUGGCCAUAUUUUGAUACUAGACAUCACUAGCAAGCAUUGGAUAUUAAGAAUGGGGCCUUAAUUUACUAAAUGAACAUAGUGUUGUAUCGAAGGACACUUCAGAUUAGUGAUUGAGGUCAUAAACUCAUUAGGAAAAUGUUUACUGGGGCAACAAAUUAAGUGGGAAGUAGUCUCAUUUUCUCAUAGGCUGCAAUAUUAUCAUAUUUCUUUUCACAAUCAGAGGGGUCGCCCCCUACUGGCUUUCUAGCCACAGACGCUUCAUCAGUCUUGUAUAUACACCAAUUAGGCAAAACAUUAUGGCCAACUUUUGCUGCCAAACCAGUCCUGACCCGUCAAGGCAUGGACUCCACUAGACUCCCGAAGGUUUGCUGUGGUAUCUGACACCAAAAUGUUUGCAACAGAUCCUAAAAGUCGUGGUAGUUGUGAAGUGGGGCCUCCAUGGAUCAGACUUGUUUGUCCAGUGCAUCCCACAGAUGCUCGAUUAGAUUGAGAUCUGGGGAAUUUUGGAGGUCAAGUCAACACGUCAAACUGGUUGUUGUGCUCCUCAAACCAUUCCUGAACCAUUUUUACUUUGUGGUACGGCACAUUGUCCUACUGAAAGAGCCACAGCCAUCAACAACAACAAUGUUAAGGUAGGUGGUUCGUGUCAAAGUAACAUCCACAUGGAUGGCAGGACCCAAGGUUUCCCAGCAGAACAUUGCCCAAAGCAUCACGCUGCCUUCAAUGGCUUGCCUUCUUCCCAUAGUGCAUCCUGGUACCAUGUGUUUCCCAGGUAAGCGGUUGGUCUGUGGCUAUGCAGCCUCAUGCACAGCAAACUGAUACACUGUGUAUUCUGACACAUUUCUGUCAGAACCAGCAUUAACUUCUUCAGCAAUUUGAGCAACAGUAGCUCAUCUGGAUCCAACCACAUGGGUCAGCCUUCUCUCCCCACGUGCAUCAAUGAGCCUUGGCGGUACAUGACCCUGUCACUAGUUCACUACUGUUCCUUCCUUGGACCACUUCUGAUAGAUACUGACCACUGCAGACCAGGAACACCCCACAAGAGCUGCAGUUUUAGAGAUGCUCUGACCCAGUGGUCUAGCCAUCACAAUUUGGCCCUUUGUCAAACUUGUUGAAAUCCUUACUCUUGUUCAUUUUUCCUGCUUCUAACACAUGAACUUUGAGGACAAAAUGUUCACUUGCUGCUUAAUAUAUCCAACCUACUAACAGGUGCCAUGAUGAAAAGAUAAUCAGUGUUAUUCACUUCACCUGUCAGUGACCAUAAUUCUAUGCCUCAUCGGUGCAUAGUCUAGUCUAUGGUUGUGAGCAGAUAUCUGUGACUCCCUUGAGGCCCUUACUUGUGGUUUUUUGGAGGGACUAGAUUGCAAACCACACCCUAAAGCUCAGCUGAUCAUUUUCUACAAAGUUUCAAAUUCCAUAUAUCAUGAAUAGUUAAUUAUAAUGACACUGGCUUCUUCGAUUCUCUGUUUGCAAAGGCUAAUUAUCAGUAUAAAGGCAAGUCAAAUGUCAUUCUAUCUUCAUGGGGAUAAUAUGCUGUUCUUUUAGUGUUGUACCUACAAGUCUUUACACAUUUCUUUACUUUUUUUGCUUGUUGGUUGACUUACCUUUAUGUUCUCUUACCUGUUACUUAAUAUUUUAAAACAAGAUGCAGGGAUGGUUCAAUAGAAACUUAAUUACAAAAAAGUGUUCUAUCCAUUGAAGGGCACAACAUUGAUAGGACAUUGUAUGACGCAUUUUAGUCAGAAAACAAAUUUGUUUUUGUUGGCAGAUUGCACCUUUAAACGAAAUAUGUAGAAGUUAAUUAUAUAAAUCUCUUAUACCAAGAUUAUGGAUUCAUCUGAACGGCUACAUAAAAGUUUAAAUAAAUGACAUUUUCUGAAAAUGUCCAUUAGAAGAAUUGAGAAAACAGUGUUUCUGUGAGUAUUUCCAGUUGUGAGGACAUAUUACCUUUAAAUCUGAAUUAGUUAGUUAUUGCCAGACUUUGGCAGAAUUUGCUGAUUAACAUUCAUCUAGAUGUGGUCCACCUGCUGUCCUGUAAUUAUUGUCUCUGUGUAUGUUGUGAGAUUAUUUUUCAUGCCAUAAUAAAGACAUAUAAAAGCAGGAAAUGAAACUUACACGUCCUAGAAUGGCUAAACUUAAACAAACAAAAAAAACAACCUUCAUACCUCCUAAAAUCACACAGAAAUGAAAGCCAUGGGUCACCACAACCUCAUCUGAGAUAUUCAGAUCGGCUCUCUACGUUUGUGUCACGUGUCGAAAAUUACAUUUGAAUCAAUCUGCGCUCCUCUUUACUCGCACUCGGCAAUCAGCUCCAUGACUCAACCUCCCUCCAAGCUCAAUAAUAACCUGAUUUCAUACAUAUCUUCACCUUGCUGCAAGGACGCGCUUUGUAAAAACCCGGAAGGUUUUACAUACAUUAGAAUACAAGGCGCCUCGUAGCUUAACAUCUUUGGCUAUGAAAGCAGCAGAAAUGAUUCAAGGAAAACAGUGUCAGUCAAGUGUAUUUUCUGUGAUUGGGUGAGUUGUGUCUCUCUUUGCUACACAAUGCCAUAUGGAUUAUAUUUGCAUUUGUCUCCUAGAGAUCUUAUUCACAGCCAGAAAAAAGAGAAAAAUCCUAGAGGCUUUUCAGACAGAUGGGAAAUACUAUUUUAGAAAUGUGGCUUAUAGGUGAUUUUUUUUUUCAAAAGUAAUGGUGCACUGAAUGUUCACAAUUGAUAUUUAUGUCUGAUAAAAUAUUGUUUUAUGGCUCCCACUUGCUCCCAACAGACACUCCAAAAAAAUACACAACAUACUUCGAAUAGAAUAGGUGUGGAAUGAGCUGUGAAACUUUAACGCAGAAAAAAAUUGUUUUGUUGUGUUUUGCUUUUGUAUUGAUUCAUUCUCUUUAUGUCUUCUUGAUCAUGGGAAAAAACAAACACCUGCAGCCAACCAAAAACUGAAAGCAUGAAAGUGGAAAGACCACAAUAGCCUUUUGCGUUUUUCUGGUUACUGUGGGAAUAUAAAAUUUAGUAUACCGAGCAAUGACUGACAACUUUAAUAAGCUCUGAGCCAGACUUUCUGCUAGAGUCUGUGUUUUGGCUGAGAGAUGGUUGUGUUCUAUGUACUGUUUGCAGCCAGUAGCAGUUGUUCUCUUUUCCAUCUACGCCAAGGAAAACAUCCAGGCCCCAUUCACCAGUGUUUCAUAAAAACUGCCACACUGCCUUCAUUUAAAUGUUAGAGCUAUUAACUAGAUGCAGAAGCAUCCAAAAGCCUAACAAAGCUUCCUUUCUUUAUUGUCUAGUCAUUGAAUUCCUGCACUGUGACAGUAUGUGCAAAUUAUGAGAAUUUAAAAUCGAGAAUAAAAGACUUUUUAAAAUAACAUUUUCAAAUGGGAUUAGACUGUUUGUCUGCUCUAAAGUAACCAGUUGCUUCAAAAAGUAUGUCAUACACCAUAAAUCACCACUGAAAAACUGUCAUUUCCAUGUCUGAUAAAUGGACUAAAUCUAAGUGUUUUCUGUCAUUUCACAGCUGAGAUAGCAUAAUAUCCCGUAUGUAGCCAUCCAGUAAAAGCUUAAAGGCAAUAUAUGUAAGAAAACGAAGCAACUAAGGUGUAUUAAUUGUUUUUAUUGCUGAAAAUGGGACUUCUCUGACUGCCUUGGUUGCCCAUAAGAGCUUGUGGACUGAUUUUGAACAUGAGAUUAAUUAAGAAUGUGAUAUUGCCUCAAUACCUCUCCUCCAUUAGUUUGACAUAGCCAGGCUUUCUUCAUGUUAGCUGAUGUGACAGGUACCUAUUAGAGAGCUUCCAAGUUUUGACUUCAUACAUUUAAACAUGAUACUCCAGAAGUGUAUUUAGUUUUGAUACUGAGCGAUACGUGGAAAUCACUUCGGCCAAGUCAAAGGGAAAUUAUUGCUGCUGUUGUGAUAAGUACCAAUACACUAAUCAGUUUUCUAAUCUGUGUUUAUUUAGCUGCAGUAUCAGCUGUAUAAAAUACACCUGGCAGCAAAUCAGGACCAAAUCCAAUUACCCUCAUUCAUGCCUUCGUCACUUCCCGCCUUGACUACUGCAAUAGCAUUCUCUUCGGCUCCACCUCCAAAGCUCUCAAUAAACUUCAACUCAUUCAAAACUCUGCUGCCCGACUCCUCACCCGAACCUGUUCUCACGACCAUAUCACCCCCGUCCUGCAGAACCUCCAUUGGCUCCCCAUUUCACACCGCAUCCAGUACAAACUGCUUCUCCUCACCUUCAAGUCCAUCCAUAAUCUUGCCCCCUCUUACCUUACCGAUUUGCUCCUCCCCUACACCCCCCCCAGGAAUCUCCGCUCCUCCCACACAAACCUCCUUUCCAUCCCGCACAGGACCAGCCGGCGACAUUGGGGGGACAGAGCCUUCGCCAUUGCCGCCCCCACACUCUGGAACUCACUCCCCCAUGCCCUCCGUGACUGCACCAACCUCACCACAUUUAAAUCCCUUUUAAAGACUCACCUUUUUAGAUCUGCUUUCCUUAAGUGAUUCUGUAUUUUAUCUUGAACUUGUUUUACUACCUACUGAUUUUAAUUAACAGUUUUGUUUUAUCUUAUUGUAUUUUAUGUACAGCGUCUUUGAGUUUUUGGAAAAGCGCUUUAUAAAUGAAAUUUAUUAUUAUUAUUAUAAAUCAGAGAACAAAAUGUUGCAUUUUCUGCAUCACCAACAUGAUGUAUAAAGUUUGCCCAGUUGUAUUGUCAUGUGAUCAUUCAGUGGGAUUACUAACGUACAGUCUCCUCUGGAGCAUGUUAGCUCUACAACAUCAGUUACCAUGGUGAUCUAGCAGGUUAAAAGACAGCCACUUUCAGAACACUGAAACCUUGACUUUAGGCUCAACAAAACUUACUAACCCAUUCAUUUCUCUUUGUAGUACAUCCACAGCUAAACUUAGCCGAGAAAUGGAGUCUGCAAACGUCAAAAAAUGACUAAUUCGUAGCACAACACAAACUCCAAAUGAGCACGCAUACACACAAAAAGAAAGCUUAAUCUUGGGAAGCCAGUCUGGCCAAACGUAAAUGCAGCCAACGAUGGAGGAACAUCGGCAGGGCAUUCGAUUAAUGGAUGGACAAAGCAGGAACGAAACAUAACAUCUGGUCCAGCUGUGCAAGAUUAUAGUUUGAUUGUGACACAUUUUGUCGUACUAUUCUGACACUGGCAAGUCAAAUAGAGUCUGAAAUACAAUUUAUAGUCAAACUUUAGUUACUUCAUCAAUCACUAUGAUAUUGGUCAAUCAUGAAGCUCACUGAGCCACAGGAUGUUGACCUCAGCUGACUGAACAAUCAUCAGUUUUAUUAAUAACAAGGGUUUUGUGAAUUUUAUGCAGAGAAAUUUUGCAGGGAAACAUUAAUGAAAGCAUUAAAAUGUCAGCUGGAGCUUGGCAGGGGUAGCAACAGUAACAAGGAGAGCAGCAGUUCAAUGCAAGGUUAGUUAUUGAUCUCUUUGUUAUUGAUAAGGCAUCUUCAGUCAGAGCUUUCUGACAAGCACCUCGAGUUUCUCAUUGCAAAUUGAGUUUCUAUAGUAAUGACCUGUGCAGCUCAGGACAGUAUUUCUGAAAGGCUAAAGAGCACUAGAUUUAUAGAUCCUGUUGUGAACUGUGGGAGCUCCCCUCAGCUGGACUUAUAUCACAAACUUUCACCCACUAACUGACAGCACUGUCGGCAAAAGCGGAUUCAGAAAAAAUGUCACCAAACUCCAUAUUACCAUCUUUAUCUGUCAAAGUCUGCACAGAGCUAAAGAAAGAAGAAGAAGAAGAAAAAAAAGGUAAUUAACAACACUGAGAUUCACUCCAUUAAAGACACAGUGACUGGUGUGUAAUAGAAGGCAGGGAGGAGGAAGACGGAUAACGGGCGAGUGUUGGGAAAGGCAACGGAAGGAGAAGCAGACAUCAGCCAUUACUUCAUUACCAUUACUCUUAGUGACUGUGGAGCUGAUGAAUGAAAGAUCUCAUUACAGGCAGUGAGAGGGAAUGGAAGCUGGAUGGAGAAGUGUAGAAGAAGAUAAAAAAAAAUAAAACAACAACAACAUCCAAAACCUAUUAUUUCAAGCUGAAAGUCUUCUCAGACUGGUUUUGUACGACAAAAUGCCUGCAAACAUAUAAAGCAACAGCGUCAGCGUGUUGCAUAUUUUAUAUUGUCUCUCGCGUGUGCAAUCAAGUGUGACCACCCAUGUCUAGACUCAGAUCAAACAGUGAGAAUAAACCACCUGGAGUUUUUUUUUUUCUUUCCACAUCUCGCACAAUGCAAACAUCAUCCACUUUCCAGUAGGUCAGGCAAUUUUCCCUAAGCAAAUUAGACGCAUUGUUUGUUCUGCCGACAUAAUCACUGGGAAGGGACCACACCUGUUACACAAUGUAUGAAGUGGAAAAGAGGUGUCGCUCUGCAGAAGCACCUAGCAACACGAGCGAAGCCAGAUGAUUGGUAAUCAGUAGAAAGAGGCCUGACGCACACACACAGCUGUGAUGGCAGGUUUUAAAUAAUGUGUCUGAGUGACGGAGAGGGUCCUGAAUGAUCCUAAGUGUCCUGGUAGUGGCGGCGUAUCUCUCAGGAAAUGGAAACACUGGUUGGAAAGAGCUGAUAAACAAGCGAGGCCUUUUGCGGUCAUUAGAGGACAGAAUUAGAAAGUCACUCCGGCCAAAGGUAAUGGUCACUGAAGUGAGCGCCACAGCUGUUUCACCACUAUGAUUUUUCCACGCAUGCAUCGCCAGUUUACCUUCAAACAGUCACCUUCUUCAAAAUAAACCACUCUUUUUAUAUGCUCAGUGUGUCGUGACUCACUGCUACCCAGAAAUCCUCUUUACAGUUCACAUACAGGUGCUGACAUUUACCGAACAGGAGGGACGUUUACAAGAAAAGAACAGCUUCAUUUUAAGGGGAUAGCUUUCCAGAAGUAUAAAAAAUAAAUGAAAACAGGCAGAUAUUUUUUGUUGUUGCAACAAUGGAAAUUCUGUUUAUGUAGUGCUAAUUUGCAACAGCAAAUGCAUUUCGUAGGAAGCAUAAUGUCCUGCACAUUAUGAUUUCUAUCUACAUAAUGAGGAAAUGUUUUUAAUUAACAUCUCUGGCUUUGGGAGAGUUGAAAAAAAAUGUUUUAGCGAAUUGAUCACUGACAUGUUUAAUUAGUUUUUUUUUUUUUUCUCCCACAUUAUCUUUUAUCCAGUCAUAGCAACUUAAUCAUGGAUGCAUUUUUUUAUUAUGUUUGUGUAUCUCACAUCACUUAGUUGAGAUUCUAUUUGUUUCAUAUAUUUUCCUGUGCUAUAUGAGCCAGAAUCGUAGUUUACUGAUGAGAGUUUGGUUGGAGAUUCAGGUGUGUUAUGAUCAUAGCAGCUUACAUCGCUUUAAGCAGCUAUAGCUCGGAGCUAGAAGAGAUGAGGAGCAGUUUUUCCUCUUUCAAGCUCCUCCAGACUUUUUUUCGUUUCCAAACUUGUGAUCUUCAGCCGCAACCGACCGUGACUCCAAUCAGCUCACUUGAGAGAAUUUGUCAGAUUUCACAGAGCGACCUCUGGAGCCACAGGGGGCUUUACAUGCCUUUUUUAUCUCACUUUGCACAUGCAGCUGUACAGGACUCAAGUUGUGUAAACAGACUUUGAUGAGAGAAACUGCUGGAGUUUCCCUUUAUGGAUUGAAAAAUCAAAAAUGAUUUGAAGUUCAAGAAGGGAUGUGUUGUCAUUAUGAAUAUUUAACCAAAACUGUUGUGCUUUUGUUGUGUAAAUCCAGUCACAAGUGGGAUUUUGAGAGUAAAUGUUUGUCUGCAAGGUCAAAAUCUUACGUUUUGUCAACUCUAGCCAUCUCUCAAAGCAAUAACUUCACACUUCAAAGAAAAAACAUCAAUCAAAUUAGCUUAUAAAUGUUUUUUUCGCAUUUUGCUCCCACCUUUUACUGUGAUUCUAUUGUAUUGCUGAGAGCCAGGAUCUGAGGGUAGUAACACUGAGUUCCUGCUGGGCAGCCUGAGUCUGGGCUUUUUAGAUGGCCUGUAAUGAUGCAGUUCUGGCUCGCUGACACCUGAUAAACUCGACUCCCAAAGAGAUGAAGGUGUGGACAUGAUAUGAGACGGGAGCUGCUCCUCUGGCCAUGCAGCCCUGCACAUUCAUCUGUAUGUACGGCUCAGUAUGAACUGCUACUACACGGCUUAUAAACCGAAUAAUAAAUGGAGAAACUCACACUCGCAGCCUGGAACACAUGCAAAACCAAAACCAAACACCCAAAUUUAUUAGACCAAGUUCUGGUAGGCCUCCUUUCAAUCUAAGCUAUGUUUUAUGACCAGUGGAGCCUUUCCCAUCUCUGCAGGGUCUGUGGUUAAAAACUGUUCACUGUGUCAACAUUUGCAAAACACAAGUCAACCGUUUCUGUAUCACCAAGGAAAGAGCACCUUCUGUCUAACAGCCUCGGUCAAGGGUCACAGUUCACUGUCGCAACAGUCAGUACACAACAGUUAAAUUGGACACAAUCUGAGAGGUAACAACAACAACACUGCUCAUUAGUUUCUCAGUGCAGGACGGUGUUUUUCCAUUUGUGCGAGAGAAAAGGUAGAUGACUAAGAGCAAGAGCAAGGCACUGGAUCGCAAAAUGUAGUGGGAUGUUCACAAAAGGGACUCUUUACACAAACUGAAUCCUAAGCUUUUACAUUAACCCUCAGCUUUGAAAGAUAUUUUAUCAUUGGUAAAUAGUUUAAUUUUUGUGAUUUCUCCAGAGUCAGAAACUCUAAAAACAGAUAGUGUUACAUUUUCAGCUUUCUGCUGGUGUGUGAAUGUUUCAUCAUAAAUUUGAAUUUAAAUCCAAUGAAAUCUAAGCUUAACAUCAUGACUUUAAAUUCAAAUUAAUUUAAAUGUUAUUCUGCAUGUUGCACUCAAAAAACUUCCUUGGUGCAAUCAUCAAGCUAUUGGUCACAUGACAGAAAUUCAGUGAACUUUUGGUGGAACUGGGAUGAACAAAGAGCAGAUAGAAAUAUGGAAACAAAUUCAAAAUGUUAAAAGUAAAAUAUCUAUAGUAUAUAGUACCACUAAUUUUGUCCAUAAGUAGUAACACCACCUUUUGGGCACUUGGAAAAUUGUUCGCGUUUAAAUAAAUUAUUAUUGUUGUUGUUGUAAAAUCAAUAACCAAAGAAAUUAAACUUUUUUUUGCUUCUUUUUGACAAUUUCAGCAUUUUCCAUGUGUCAUACUGCACAGAAGACUUUUUUAAGUUAUCUCUGAUCACUCCAUGGCUAUUAAAUUUCCAUAUAGGACAUACAGGGCUUAACAAUGCGUUGAAAAAUAAGUACAAAUGUGACAGGAGCAUAACACUCCCAGAAGCUGCUUGAGGAUCAGAGGGUUACGUCCUCUCGUUAAAAUCCCAAUAAACAAAUGUUUGCAAUUAAGCAAUCAGGGAUUAAGUGUCAAGUAGAUCUUAAAAUGACUCACUAAAGGACAAAAGAGCACUAGACUCUCUGCCCCCACAUCUUCCAGCCCAUCCUGGGACACCGGCCAAUAUUUUUCAACCAUAAUCCUCCUUCUUAAACCUCCAGGGUACUGCCGCUCCCAUAUGACACAGAAAUACUGUAUGUAAGGAUUUUCAGCCUUGUGCAAAUAAACAACAACAAUGCAACUUCCUCUACAGGAAGCGAGCGAGGAAGUUAUAAAUAGGAAUAUAAUGGGAAGUAUGCAAAUGGCAACCGAAGGAGCUCACUGUACAAAACACAAGGAGCUCUUGCAUGUCCUGCACAUCAUCUGCUUUUCCCUCUGCGAUGGAAAUGAAGUUUAUGGCUGGAAAUAAUUAGAGAUCAUACUGCUCUUAUCUGUUUUCAAUGAUAAAAGCUGCAGUUUUUAAUACUGUAAAAUCAGCGGGCAUUAAUAGAAAUGCCAUAAGUAGAAAAAAGCAUGCCAGUUGUCUUAGAUUGAUAAAGUGGGCUUCGAAGACGAGGGGAGGAGGGCAGGAAGAUAUGAACUGGGUGGGAUUUUAAACUGCCAGCCCUUGUUAGGUGAAAAAUCUUUUCUCUUGAUGAUUAAAUGGCCCUCUAUGGAACGGUCUUAUGUAAUGGGGAUGUGUUCCUUUCAUGCUUCAUACAAUAUAUGUGUGUAAACAAUGUGUACAAGCCUGCAGCUCUGUAAGUGCACUCAAAAAAAUGAAACACUGACUUUAAAUCAUUUUUUUCCUGUCAACGUGCUUUAUGUUAUUGUAUUUUGCAAAAAUGUUAAAGGUUUUGAAAAUAAAUUAUCUCUAUUAUUAUUUUAGCAUUUAUUUAUUGAUUUAUUAUUUCAUUUUAUGCUCUUAUUGAGGCAAGUGGUCACAUUUCUUUCUGACCAACAAGAGAUUUUUAAGUCUAACCAGCUUUAUUUAGUUGUGUUAACUGGACUUAAAGAUGAUAUCUCCAGCCUAUAUAAUUUACAUUUGUUCACUCAACGCAAACUAAUGAUGUUACUGCAACAACGAAAAUGUAACUUUAAAUAAUUAAUAUAAUAAAUAAUUCAACACCUUUUUAACAUUUUAUUUACAUCCAAACAGUCAUUUAAUGUUGCACAUGUUGGUGCCAUUUUGACCAGAAAAGUGAGAAUAAACCAAGAAAACAGUCAAUGAAUUUUUUGAUUGGGACGUGUUUUAUAUAAUUGCAUUUUGUUAGUCAAAUACACAAAUGCUAAGGUUUUGUGACAAAGUAAGUUUGCAGUGCGCAAACAAAAGUAAUCAGAAUUCCUUCUGCUCAACAAGAGGUUUUUAAGUUGAACCAACUUUAUUUUGUUAUAUUAUUUGGACUUACUGCUUCUCCAUACAUAUUUUACAUUUGUCCGCUCAACAUAAACUAAGGAUGUGAUUGUAGCAUUUUUAUCAGAAAGCAAAUCCAAUACAUUUUUGUUAUUUUCUUUACUUCCGGUUAAAGUGAUUCAGUGAUACAUGUUGGUUCCACUUUGACCAGAAAAGCAACACAUACAUCUUUCACUGCACCAAAUAAUAAUAACAAGAACAUAGUCAAUCAUAUUUUAUAAUUAAAUUAGAGGAACAAGCAUCUAAUAAGCUGUACUGUCAGUCGGGAACAGUGCGUGUCUUAUUCUUUCUUGUGUCAUCCAUCCGUCCCUAGUGAACUCUGUGUGCCAUUAAAGGAUGGCAAGACUGCAGCCAUUAGUGUAACAGGAUCAGACCACUGAGAGCCUCACAAACAGACUACACACAUGCACAUAUGUGCUGCACACAUUCGCUCAGUAUCAAGAGGCUAGAUGCUCCCACUCAGGCAUACUAGAAACAUUUACCACUGCUCCCCUUCCCGGCACUUGAGUGGAUAUGAGCAUGCGAGAGAGAAUUCCUGACUGUUUGAGUUGAGAAAGAAGAAAAGGGGGAUCAAAAUCCAGCAGCAAGCAUCCACCCCUGCAGCCCACUUUCUUGGCAGGAACCAAGACGAGAAGAGCAGCAGCAGCAGCAACAAUCCUGUUUCCCCCCAAUGUCACCCACACAGCCCCUGCAUUCUGUCUCCCAAAGGAGAAAGCGGAAAAUGGAAGUCUCCUUGUUUUUCCUGCUGUUUUCAGCGCUCACAGCCAGCCACAUCUCCUCCAGUAAGCUAUAAUUAUCACCAAACUGACGCAGAUUACUGGAGGAGGGAAAGAGUGGGACAAACAGCUGUGAGGGUUUCGAACAAUGGCGGAGAAAAUGAUAGGCUUGAUAUUGAGGUCACAUAAUAAAGGCAAAUAGAGCCUAAAUGAGUUGAUUCUAUGGUUCACGAGACAUUUCUUGCGCCCACCCAAUGGAGACAGAGGGGGUUUUUGUCCUUGGCUGCUAUUAGCAUUUUGUACAAGAUGUGCUGCAGGUAAUUACAUUUGCUAUUGAAAAACACUUUGAAUAGUUUGAACGGACCAAGCAGAGAGAUUGAGAAGCAUCGUUAUCGCUUUCUGUUGUGCUCCAGUAAUGAAAUUGCCGCUGAUUGAAUUAGCAGUAUGAUGGAUGCUUUCUUGCUCUGGCCUUUAAGGCGUGGGCGGGCGUGACCAAAUGGGCUGCGGGCCAUAUUUGGACAGCUUUGGGCCAAAUGGUGUUGUGUUUCUUUAUGGCUCAUGUAACAUGGGAGGCCAUUUGCUGCGAGGGACAGGGAUAAGGGAUGUUGUGAAAAAAGAUCUGGGAAGGAUUGAAAUGAAACACAUAUGGUUCAGAUAUACAAAGCAAUCGUGCAGACAAUGAAACCCAAACACAGACAAACAGAUGCAGGUCAAAAACACGAAUGCACACUUCUGUGGCUCCUAGGUUGAUGCCACAACGCCCCCAGCAUCUGUCCAAUCACUUUUUAGAGCGUGUUUUCCUCAAUCACCUUAUCAAUCCUCCUAAACACCACCUCCUCUAUCCUCUUCUGCACUCUCUGGUAAACACACAUCAACAAGAAGUUGUUUUUCCACAGCAGGCCUCGUGGCCACUCCCCUCCUCUCCUAUCACCAGGUAUUUCUGGCUCCUCAUUGGUCACCUGGGGAGAGAGAUUGCAACACCUCCUGUCGGGUUCAGUGACCUCCGCUCCCCGUGUUACUAUGAAACAUCAACAUCUGACGUAUGACUCAGAGGGAAGUCAGUCGUUGUGACUAAUAGUGUUUUUCUAAAAGCUGCUUUUUAGCAGUGCUUCAGGGGAACGUGCAGAAAUUCACACAACACUGUGCAAGCGUCUGGUGUGAUCCAAGUCUUCCUGUUUUCAUGCGGUGAUAGUGGAAAAGUUGCACGUUCUGCUGGCCAACUUUCUGUUCUGUCCACAGCAAAGCUCAAAGAAGGGCUGUGUGUAAAUGACCACAUAUUGCAUCAACCUAUUUAAUGAAAACAAGUGUAGAAUGUAAAGGUGUGAUGUUCUGUUGGCACCCUUAGGUUGGAGACAGCCAGAAUUCAUUUGUACCGAGAUUCACCCGGGAGCGAGAAGCAGCACAGCUCUCAUAGGAUCGAUAUAAGUGUGUGUGAGUGUGUGUUUAGGCACACUACGAGGUGAAAGUGUAGGUUAAACCUACACACCUGCAUCCUUUUUAUGGAAGCAAAAACACACAGCAGACAGUCCUGCAUUUGUACAGGAGGGGAAACUGUGAAAUACCGUCACCUCCAGCGUAUACAGUUGGCUUGGCAGCCUCUCAAAGUAUACAUGCACAAAUGGUAAAGCAACACGGCUGCCAUUAGCGGACUCUGUUUGCUCUUGGCUCUGAGGUCCAUCCAGUCAAAACAGCCUUUUAAUUGGACGUGUUAGAAAAUUGUUUUUCACAAAGUAAAACCACCAUAGAAGUCGCCACAUCACAUAUAUACUGUGCUGUAUAUAGCACACACAAUAUACUAUAGUGCACCAUGCAGUAUUAAUCACACUAAACAUCUGGGAGCAUUUAGGGAACAAAAUGAUCUUAAAAGCCUCUUCAUAGUGAUACUCUUGUGGUGUUACAUUAAAUUCCCUGAGUGAUAAUUUGAUCUUUUACCUUCACCUAGAGGAGACAAACACAACAUCUUUGUCUUUCUGAGAAGACAUGAUAAAAAAAGGAAAUCCUCCAGACAGACAUGCUGAUCGAUGAUAUUCAUGUUCCUUUGACUGAAGGCUUUGAUUCCCUGGUCCCAACACUAUGUGAAUUAUGCAGUUUUUAUAAUGUCAAAUGAACAUUAUCUCUGAUUCAAGUUCAAUUCAAAAUAGCUUGUUGCUAUCCCCAGAUAUAGAAGUCAAGAUGGUCACAAGAUGUGAUUUACACUUGUUCCAGAAGUUACACUAUAAAAGAAUCCCAUGUUGAAAGAAUGGCACUAGAGCGAAACCACGCAAUUUUAUAAGCAUUUGUAAAAGUGGAGCCAGAGGGAUUUCCCAUGUUUAGGGCAGGAAUCUACACUUUACUGUGUAAGAGGCUCAAAUUCUGUGAGAAACCAACAAAUCCAAAGAUUCCCUUUGAGAAAGCUCCUUGUGGGAAGAUAAAAACCUCCCUUCAACAGGAAGAAACCUCCGCCAGAACCAGGCUCAGUUAGGACAGCUGUUUGCCUUGACCUGUCGGGGUGAGGGUAAAGAGAAGAGAGAAGGAUAUAGAUAGAAAACAGACAUAAGAGAAAAAUAAACACUUUGGAGGUCACUGAAGGCAGUAACAGUAGCUCAGAAACGUGUAGCUCUGUGUCUCUAUUCACACAUGGAUGUCAGGCUACACAAUAGUUUUUCUUAUAAAGUUCUUGUAGUAUUGGUAUCAUGAGUGGAAACGCUGCAGAUACAAGACUGUGAGGAAAUACCCCAAAACAAUGCUUAUUUACUCAAGAAAAGAAAUAACUGCAGGCCUGUCCAUGGGUGUUGAUAUUGUCAAGUCGAGUAAUUUUUACUUAGGCAGCCUAAUAUCACAAAUCUCAAUGGGUUUUCUGAUCUAUACAAUAAAUGUCCUUAGACGGAUGAGAAAAAAACUCCACCCUAAAAACCUUUAAUGAGAAAAAAGCAUCAAAGUGGGCGUGGAGUCUGUGUCUGACACUCAGGAAAACCACAAAGCAGAGCCAAGCCCUGGCAUAAGAGCCCACCCUCGUCUGGGGCCUCCCCUGCACACAUUUUCUUCAUAGCUGCUAUGAUUAUGUUUCUGGAAUUGCAUGCAAGGCUGCUGAUGCAGAACCUGGUACAAAGUUUAGCAAAAUACAUCUCAGCAUGUUGCAAAAUUUAUGCUUUAUAGGACGGAGACUCAGUCAGUCCACUAGCUGUAUCGAGAGUUGUGUAGGUUUUGACUGUGGUCAUUUUUUAAUGCCAAUAACACACAGUAAACAUGUUUCCAUUGUAGUGUUGAGUUGGGAGAAAUUACACAUUUUUAAUUGAGUUUAGAAUUUAUAUAUAGUUGUAGACAAGAGGAAUGUCGCCUAAAGGUCCCAAAACCUGCUGCAGUUAAGGCCAAGUUAUAGGAAUCAGUAGAUAAUCUAAUACAUCUGGAAAAAUGUAUUCAACAUUUAUUUUCAUUUUGUUGUAUUUUAUUACAUAUUGUUUGUGUUCAAUGCUGUUUUGAAUUCAUUUUCAGUAAGGCUCAUGCAAACUAGAAUAUACUAUAGAUGUUGUACCUGUUAUAUAUAAAUAUAUUCUAAACUUAACUUCUAAGGUUUUGCAUUCUCCAUUCAUUCACACUUGGCCUGCAUCAUAAACUAAUUCUAACACUAAUUUACAUAGAAAAGAGGCCCUAAAAAGGCCCCGCUGCUGUGCAUGAGAAAUGCAUUUCUUGGGUCCAAACACAUCAAGGAUACGUUGUGAUGACACAAACUCAUUGGAAUGACAUUCAGUCAGUAUUUUUUAUGCUAUGCUUCUUAAGUAUAUGUUGUUAUGCGAAGGACAUGCGCGACUCUAAGUGAUGCGGCGAGUUUUAUGAGGUGGCUGUAUUUAUGGGAAAAAGGCUGCACUCGGCUGCCAGUGUGAUUUUCUGCUCUCAUUGCUUUCUCAGUACCAGCUGGCAUAGUUACAGCUCUGUUACGGCUCUAAACCUGUAAUCACUCUGAUACGUGUUAUGUCACAUAUAUAUAACAGCAUAAUAACGCUUGUCAAAGUUACUGAUUCGGUCGGCACAUUCGCCACAUAUAUCGACUGAAAGAACAUCAGGCUUUUCCAGCAGUUUUCAGGAAGCUAAUUUUUCACCUGCUUCUAUCGUAGCUUCUAGAAUAAACAGUUCAAGUGAAACGUGUAUCAUGCGUUCAGUCAGUUAAUACUGGAAAUGCAAAGCGAAUAAUAAAUAGAGAAGUGAGCAUUCUGAGUCCCUGAAGUACUGUGCAUUACGGUGGAAAGGAAACACAGCUUCAGGAGAGAUGGUGCUCAACCAGGGAAAGUAGAAGAGAGUGUUGUCUAGACUGCUGCAUAAUGAAUGAGGCAGACUUUGUGGUCACAGGAGUGGAAGUCCAGGGGCCACGUUAACAAUAUUCUUCCAGAUGGCCUGCAUGAACUCGCUUGAAAGAGAUGAAAACAAAAAGUCAGAGAGUGUAACUCUGAAAAAGUGUGACCACUGCAACACAUGACGUGAUCCAAAUGUAAACAGCGUCUUUGAAACACACACAUAACUGUAUCUUUGUGUUUGUCACUGUCACAGCCAGAGGCUGUGAUCAAGUGGCAGUGCUCUCUCCUCCUCUGGCCUGUUGUUUCUCUCUCUCUCUAGGUGUGUGGCAGUGGUGGGCAGCAGGUGUGGCUGAUUUCCAAUCAGCUGAUCGGGUGCAGGUGGGAGUUGCUCAUCAGGCUGGCUGGGCUCACUAUAAAGAGUGCCUCGUCUCGUCAGUUGGUGCCGGACCGUCCCCUAGCUCACAGUUAGUGUUGCUGUCAGAUCUGUCUGAGCCACUGCCUUCCCCAGCUCUGCGUCUAACCCUGUUCUCUCUGUGCAGUAUUGACUCCUGCCUGUUUCUGUUACCGUCUCUUCUGGUUGGAAAGCCACCUGGCAGAGGUUUCCAGACACUACAAGGACCGGGGCUUUCUCCAAGAAGUCUUGCUAAGCUAAGGAGGACUCUGGCUGCUGCCACAGCUUGGACAGGAAUCCUGGGUUCUAACCCCAUACCAGACAGAGAGAGAGACUGUUCAGUAAGGUUCUCGUUCCAAGCAGCAUCAGACAAUAGAGCAUUGUUGUUUUGUUUAAUUGGUGUUCCUGCUAGUGUAGUGGGAUUCUGGGAUAGAGUUUAGGUAUUUUGUAUGGAGAGUAGUAGUUUUGUUUUGUAGUUUACCUGCUUGGAGGAAUUAAACGUGGGUUACUGUUUUGUGUAUAGUGUUUACGCCCUCCUCCAAGAAGUAUUGUUUUGUUACGCUGACUGCGUAUCAUUAGUGACUUCUGUUUCUGGUUUAGAGUUCCAAUUGUAGUUUUUGGUUUUGCUUUCAUGCAAAUAAAUCUUGUUUC